CUGCACUCUAGCCUGGGUAACAGAGCAAGACCCUGUCUCAAAAAACAAACAACAAAACAACCAAACAAAUGUGUUGUUGAUAUUUGGACACAGAACAGAACAGCAGCAGCCAGGGACUGGGAUGGGGGUGAGGCUGACCACAGAGUGACGGCAUGAGGGAUUGUUUUGGGGUGAUGAGACCAUUAUGAAUCUUGAUUGUGGUGGUGGUUGUGUGACUGCAUACAGUCCUCAAAACCCUUAGAACUGUAACCCCAAACAAUGACUUUUACUGUCUAUACAUUUAGGAAAUAACUAAAGCAUGAACAGUGUGCUGUUUCCAGGCAGUACUGAGCAGGGUGAGUGCUCCCUCUCAGGGAAGACCCCUGGGUUCGAUUCCUGGCCCCUUCACUUCUUAGCUGUGUGUCUUGGUUCCCAUGACUGUAAAAGGAAGGUGAUGAUCCCUACUGCAUAGAGUUGGAAUGAGGAUUAAAUGGAUUCAGCUCUGAAUCAGGCUGGGGUGUAGAAAUUGCCACCUAAGAGAUUUCUCCUCACCAGGAUUUCCAGGCCCCAGGUGUGUGUCUUGGGGAUGGAGGAGGAGGAGCUGAGGAUGCGGGAAGCUCAUGUUCCUGCAGGUGCUGUGUCAUCCAUUGACUUUAUUUGCUUGCGUCAUACCGUCAGUGCUGGGACCCCUUACGCGUGGGGUGCUCUUUGUUUCCCAUGACAUCAAUUGUGUUCUGGUCACAUCCCACGCACGCCCUGGACAUAGGGCAGCUGAAGCUUGGGCCAGGCUGGCUGGUCCCUCCUGGGCAGGUGAAGCAGGAGGCCUGAACUCUGAGCCCUGGCUGGGUGGGGCUCUUUCUGGCGUAACCCGUUUUGCUGGUCAGCAGUCACAGCGAGGGAGAGCCAGGUGAGGGAGAGAGAGUCCUUGCCUGGACUUGGGAAGGUCUCACUUUGCUUUUGGUUGCCCCAGGUCCAGGAGCUGCUCUGAGCAGGAAGGAACAUGCUGUGUGUUGGGGCCUGAUGAGACAGGCCAGUCUCCUUGACUUUCCUGCUUAAGGGGCAGGAGGUGGGUCCGCCUUCCUUGGUGUGUCCUGCUGCUGUUUCCCAAUGCUGCUUCCCAAAUGUCCCCUCCCUGUGGUUGAGCCCAGGCCUCUCUGGGUCCUUCCAGGCAGACUUGCCCACCUGCCUGUAUUUUGGGAUGCAGCUGCCACCCUGUUUCAUCACCAACAUGUUUCCAUCUGAUUCUGCCUUCCAGAAAUUGAUUGUAAUCUCGUGCUGGCUUGCUGACCACCUGCUUCCAGUCCUUUUUGUGGCAAGAGGUUCAUUCCCUUUAGAAUUCAUUUGCUGGCCUGGGAGGGAAGAGAGACAAGUACGUGCUGAGCCACAGACUGGAGUGCCCUCCUCUUAGAAAGCAGCCACGCAUCAGGGAGCGAGUCAGUCAUUUACAUUCCAGCACAAAUGAUGCCAGUGGCCUUUCUCUGAAAUAGGCGUCUGAAGCACAGGUUGCUGGAGAAGGCCUGCCACAUUUGAAUGGGAGGCCUCCACCUGUGUCCAGGGGGCUUCUAGGAGGUUGAGGGUAUUGAGGCCCAGGGCGAGCAGGAAGAAGGAAGAGCAGGGGGUGCAAGGGUGGCACCAGAUGCAAGAGCAGUGGACGAGACCCCACACUGACCUUGAAUUGGAGACCCAGGCUUGCUUUGUUCUCUGUGAGGCCUUUUGGGGUAGGCUGCAGCGGGGAGUCUAGAGGGUGCUCUGGGGUCCUUGUGCCCAGAUAGCAGGACAUUCUCCUUUCUCGCUGCCAGGCCCCAAAUGUAUGCAUAAGCCGAUUUUAUCAGGUAGAAAGCAAGAGGUUUAGAACUCUAACAGGUGGAUAUCAGAGAAAGCUUUCACCCGAGCCAUUUAUUUGAGAACACAAAAGGAAACCGUUCUCGUGCCGCAUUCUCACAGUCAGGCUUAGGAUCCUUCUCAAAGGCCUGGGCAAACUUUCGAGAACCCCCACUUGUGAAGGCUUCGAUGCUGUCUUGCUCUUCCCUGUGGCAUGCUGGGCAGGAGUGAGGACAAAGUCUCUGAGCGGCCAUGUGAACCCGUCUGGGCAGUCCCUGGCUCAGGAAUUGGGGGUGCAUAACUGUUCUCCACCCUCUGCCCUCCCUUGCAUAACCCCUCCUGGGGUGAGGGCACAUGGUGUAGGCAAAGGUUUGAGUGGGGGGAGCUGACCCAGGGUGCGGCAUGAGACAGGGCGCUGAAGAGAGGGCAGGGUCCGGGUGGUGCCAGACACGGUGGGCAUGGGGAGGCUGUGGCUUUGUGUGUGUUUUUGGCUUCCUUUGGAAAGGAAAUGAUUGGCCGUGGUGGCCUCCUACAGCAAUGUUUUCUUUCUCAUUUGGAGUCUUGAACAGUCAGGCGUCCUCUCCUCCAACAGAGACCUUCCGAUGGAGCUAGUGUGCUGAAGUCAUUGAGCGGAGGGCGAGGCGGCCUCAGUACCCCUGGGGUCGGGGAUGUGCUCCCUUGGACCAGGCCUUUUUGCCAUGACCAGACAGGGCCAGGGGUGUCAGGAGGAAGUAGGAUUAGGACACCCAGUGAUGGCGGUGGCCCCAGCAGUCCCUGUCUCCCUGCACUCUCCCUUCCUGCUCAGCUGUCCCUCCAGAGGAUAGCAGAGAAGAUGCGGCAGCCUGACCCCAGGAGGAGCACCUCCAUGGAGGCUGGCCUCCUUCGCCGCAGCCUGUGGGGUUCACAUGCCCGGCCGGUGGAGCUGUCUGGUCCCUGAGUCUGGGGGCCGAGGCUCUCCCUGCAACCCUAGUGAUCAGGUCACCAUCUCUGUGUGUCUGCUUUGCCUCGCUCAGGGGUGACUCGCCCAGCACGCUCCAGUGAGCACUGUUUUUGUUUCAUCUGUCGUGUGUCAGUCAGUGGGGGCAGCGAGGACAGCGGUUCCACGCCCUGGGCACAGCCCUCGCCCACAAGCACUGUCCUGGUGUUGCAUAGGCGUCGCACAGAUGCAGCAGCGCCUCCACCCUGGAUGGUUUUACACACAGUCCCCAGCACGGGAACCAGGGUGCUUGGCCUCCCUCAGAAGCUGCUGUCUUACCCUACUUUGAGGGAGGAAGCCUGUGUGUACUGAACACGGGCUCUGCUGAGCCUUGUCCCCAUACACCACCCCCUGCCACCUCCCAGCAGGCUCAGGCCCUGGGCACCCGCACUGCCUGGGCAGCCUGACCUCGGAGCCUGAGUGCCCUGGCCCCCAACCAGCUGCUCCCUGGCUCUAAAGAGUGAGAAGUAGGAGAGGAAAUGGAGUCAGGACCCCCCAUCCCUCCUCACAGGGUGCACAGGCCAAGCUGGAGGGCAGCCAGGCGGCAGCAGAAGCCUCUCCUCUUCCUGGUCCCCAUGGUGGGAGCUGAUUGCCACCCUCCCCCUUCCCUUGGGGAUGCUGCUGGUAGUCACUAUGGGGGAAAAGCAAUUAUGUUUCCAGACCAUAAGGAGCAGGCCCUGGGCCCUGCAGGCCCAAGGGCCCUAGCCCCACUGCCGCCUGGGCACGUCAGGGAGAGAUAUCCCAGCUUUGCUUCCCACCAAGUGUCCUGGCCCCAGACUGCCCGUGCCUAAUGAGGGGCCACCUCCCUUUCCUUCCAACACGAGCUGCCUCUCCUGACCUCAGAUGGCCUUAAUGCCCGACUGCUGUGUCCUGCUGGAGGAACGAGGGCUGUAGGUGAGUGACCGGGUGACGAAUGUGUCGGUGGUUUCCAGGGCCACUGUGGGAGUGCAUGUGUGUGUUUCAGGGUGGGGUGGACUUACGUGGGGCUCGGCCUGGUUCUGCUCUCUCUUCUCUAAGUAUCCAAGAGAGCCCUUAGUUGCAGGGGCUGAUGGAGAGCCCCACUCUGCUCCCCUGCUGCAUCAUGAGAGGAACCCUGUAGCUGCUAUGUGCCAAGGGCUCCUGGUGAAAGGCCUCCCGUUUAUCUCAUUGAUUCCAGUGCAGCAGAUAAAACCCCAGCCCAGAAUGACCUGCCUUGCUUAGGGCUGCACUUGCUCCCCUGAGGAAUAUGUCAGAGCCUCGCUGUGCCUCCCUCAUCCCACCUCCUGGCUCCUCUCCUGUACCCCACUUCUUCUCCUUCUGUUCACAGCAGGAGCCUCUGGAAGGAGGGCUUGGCAAGGAAAGGCAAUGAGUGGGAGUUAGGAGCCACUGACACCCUCUGGUCUUCCCACCCUUGCUGCACAUCCGGCCACACUCCCUUCCCUCUGGCAUCUCCUCAUGGACACUUGGGUCAUGAGGGGCAGCUGGGGAGCCCGGACUCCAGGAGGGGUAGGGAGGAGGGUAGGAGCAGGAGGAACUGGCCUGGGGCAUGCCCAUGGCUAUGGCAUGUUCAGGCUUAGCAGGCAGAUUCUCGAAGCACCCUGUGCCUGGGGCAGGAGCGGGGGGUCCCUCCAGCAGAAGGGUGGUGCCUCGAGGGGAUUUUUGAUGUUGUCUGAUGGGGUCAGAGGGCGUAAGAUCCUGGGCUGAGGACAGCUCGAUGCCGACAGUGCGCCUCCGUAUGGGGUCCUGAGGGCGUCACCCACACAGGUUGGGCAGAGGCCAGUCCAGGCAUGGCUUGCUUGAUGCUGACAAUUUGCUGCUAAAAUGAGACUUCCUGUCUGACAGCACAAACUGGGAGCCUGCUCCCAUUACUUUAAAUGGGAAAAAUGAUAAUGCAUUGCUUGUUGCCCCAAACCCUCCGUGCAAGUCCCUAAAAUGUAUCUAAAACACGAUAAAGUGCUCAUUUAUAAUUAAGAUCCCUGAACAAGUCCCCCAAACGUAACUGAAAUGCGAGAUCGUGCCUCCUGGUGAGGGAGAAUCUGUGGGGCUGUGAUGUCCCAUGUUUGGCACGUGGUCACCAGCACAUGACUUCAGCACAGCUGUGCAAGGGCCACAAGGGGUGACUGCUCUGCCCUUGGAGCAGCCCUGUGCAGGGCAAUCAGCACUGCAGCUGCGUAGUGUCACUGUGUGAAGGCUGACUCCACACCGAGGGGCCCAGGAUGGCCAUUUUGUUGUGCUCACAGCUUCUGUGAGUCUGGGCUGGGGAGGGCACAGGGGCUGGCUGGACUUUGCUCCACAGUGUUGGGGCCUCAGCUGGGAGAGCCCAAGUCUGGUAGCGGGGGGCCACGUCAUCCCCCAGCACCCUCUCGGGGGCUCUGUGUGUGGCAGCUCAUCACAGCGGGACUUCUGACAUGGCCAGGGCUCCAGGAGUGAGGGCUGCAGAGAACAGGUGGAGCUGCCUCGCCUUAGGAUGUGUCUCAAAGUCACAUGACGUCACCUCUGUCCAUUGGUCGGUAGGUCCAGGGAGGAGGGCCCUCUCAGUGGAGCAGUGUCAGGGCCGCGUUGGAGAACAGCUUGCGGGGUAGAGAAGUCAUGUCGUCGUAAACAUCACAUGUGAUUCACAUAUUCUACUAAUUGUACUUGGAAAGUGGCUUGAGACUUUUUUUGCCCAUAAUUUUGUUAAAACUUGUGUACUGAAUUUUUUGGGAUGUAAAAAUAAAAUGUUCCCUGUAAUUCCGUGAGGCCUGCUAGGAGAACUAUGAUAUGAAAGAUGGAUGGUAACAAGCGUUGCUGAGGAUGUAGGACAAUCAGAGCCCUUGGACGCUGCUGCUGGGAAUGAGAGUGGUGCAGCCACUUUGGAAAAGAGUUUGGCGGUUCCCCAAGAAGUUAAGCCCAUCCAGCAAGUCCACUCCUACGUAUGCAUCUAAGAGAAUGGAAAAUGUGCAUUCACACAAAACCUUGUACGUGAACGUUCAUAGCAGCAUUGUUCAUAGUAACCAAGAGGUGGGGACAGCUCCGACUCAGGUGUUCAUCUGGUGAAUGGAUCAACAGCAUGUGGAAUAGCCAUAGGAGGAAAUACCCAGCCAUAAAAUGGAACAAAGUACCGACUUAUGCACCAGCAUGAAUAACUCUUGAUGCUAAGAUAAGUAAGCCUGAUGCAAAAGGCUUACUUAUUGUGGAAUUCCUCUGGUAUGCAAAUCCAUAGAUACAGACAGUGGAUUGCUGGUCACCAGGGCUGGAGACGGAGGAGUGACUGCUAAUGAGGAUGAGAUUUCUUUGAUGAAAAUGUUCUAGAAUUAGAUAGUUGUACAACCUUGUAAAUAUACUAAGACCCACUGAAUUUUAUACUUUGAAAGGGUGAAUUCCACAGUAUGUGAAUUAUGUCUUAAUAAAAAUUGUUUCAGAAAAAAAGUACAGACAUAAAUCACUCAAUGACAGAUAUGUUCUGAGAAAUGUGUCCUUAGGUGAUUUUGUUAAUGUAUGAACAUUGAAGUGUACUUACAAAAACCUGGAUGGCAGAGCCUACUGCACACCUAGGCUGUAUGGUAUGACCUAUUGCUCCCACGCUGCAAAUCUGUACAGCAUGUCCCUGUACUGACUCUUGUGGGUAACUGUAACAAAAUGGUCAGUAUUUGUGUAUCUAGGCAUAUCUGAACAUAGAAAAGGUACAGUAGAAAUACCAUAUUAUAAUCUAUGGGACCACCAUCCUAUGUGUGGUCUGUUGUUGACCAAAAGGUCGUCAUGCAGUGCAUGAUUGCAUUUAAAAAAUCAGCUGAGAGAUAUGUCCUUUCUGUGAACUCUGAGUAUUAAAUGUCAAGCGCCUUUCUUCAGGAGAGGUUCUUCAGGGUAUGGUGGUAACAAAGGGUUGCAGACACCCACACUGUUUCCUCAUGCAGGGCCACUGGAGGAGGAUGAGUUGGAAACGUAGCUGACACUGGAGGCCCAAGCAGACAUCUACCUCAAACCCAAUGUGAAUCUCAGGACAGGUUUGCUCAGCUUGAUGGGUGGGCGGGAAGAAGACGCGACGACCAAGAGGCAAAAGUGGAACCUUAGAGUCAUGAGAGGAUGACAUUUGCUGAUGACCUUCAUGCCAGAUGCCCACUUGAGAGCCUGGAGAGAGUGGCAUGUAGCACUUUCUGCCUGCUGAGUGGCCUGCUCAUGCCCCUGGGAUCUCUGGCUCCAGGGCCUGUGUUUAUCCUGCUAUGGCAAACCACACUGCCUUCUCUAAGGCAGCAUCUCCUGGUGGGAAGAGUAUCAUCUGCUUUGAAGUUCUGUGAAUGGACCAGAGGAAGUGAAAGGAAGAAAAGAGACCAAAUGGGAGGCUGUUGCUGUGGUCCAGGCAGGGGGUGCUGAUGGCAGGAGAUGCUGGAGGCCAGAGUCAGGGCGGGCAGUCACUGGUCAGCAGAGGAUGCCAUAUGGAGCCUCAAGAACAAAGGCCAUCGGAAUGGCCGUUCCCUGGCGUGGAGCCCCACAGGACUCAUCAACCGGGGUUGAGGUUGGCUGAAAACAGAGCAAGAGAGGCCCUCGCCCAUCUCAGGCCCUCUCCAUGCCCUCUUUCUGGUGGGAUCCAUGAAAGGAACUGGCAGCACAUUUCUAUUUCUUGGGAUUUAAGAUCCUUUGUGUGAAAUACUUAAAAAACCAGGUUAUGGUUUAUCCGUAAAUUCUGGCUGGAUCCCACUGGCUUCCUGACACCUCAUGGGCCAUUUUUCCUCUCCCAGCCACUUUCCUCACCUCACCCAAGGCAUGCUGACAAAGGAGCCCUGGCCAGAUGCUGCCACUGCAGAAUUUUUAAAAAUGGAUUAACCAAAUAGAGUUUAUAAAGUAGAGGUAGAAUUCACAUAACGUAACACUAUUUUAACAAUUUUGAAGUGUAGGAAACAGUGACUUUUAGUACAUCCACAAUGCUAUGUGACCAUCACUGUCUAACUUCAGAAAGAAUCCCCACCCCACUAGCAGUGACAUCCUAGUCCCGCCUCUCCUGCCACCAGGCAAUCAGGAAUCUGCUUUCUGUCUCUGCAGAUCAGCCUAUUCUGGGCAUUUCACAGAACUAUAUCAAAUAGUGUGUGUCUUUUGUGUCUGGCUUCUUUCACCGAGCACAGUGUUUUCAGGUCUGUUGUGUGGCAGCAGGAGGGAUCACAGCUUCCUUCCCUUUCAGGGUUCCACAGUGUUCCGCCGUAUGGAUGGACCACAUUACCUUAUGGAUGGACCACAUUUGGCUUCUCCAUACGCCCACCAGUGGCUGCUUUCUGGGCAUUAUGACUAACACUGAUGUGAGCAUUUGUGUACGUUUUUCUUUGACUCCCUGCAGAAUUUUGGUGUGGGCUGAUUCUCGGGUUUCACUGGACCCGGCCUCCUCUGGUGAGUGCCUGCUAAGACUGUAAUUCACUGAUUGGCUAUCCUGGGAUUUGUUUUCCUCAGAUGAGACUGGUGUUUUCUGCUGAAUACAAUGGAUUGCUUAAAGGGUCUUGAAGGGGCAUGAUACUGCAAUAUGCACCUUCCACGGCCUGGAAUCUUCCUGAGUCUUGUCUUGGUUGAGCUGCCUUCCAUGUACAGGUGGGGUCUGUCUCUCUCUCUACUAUGUUUUUCGAAGGAUCCUCUGAUGCUAUUUCUGGAAUUUCCUGCUACUGUCUCUAUUUCCCAAAGACCCAACUCUGUUCUCAGAUUUAUCAAAGCUUUGAGACCAGAGGUAUUUGAGGUAUGAGAUCAACUCUAUUAGUGCCCUAGGAAUUAAGAUGCCAGGCCCGUUUCCUGAUAAUGCUCUGUUUUAGUAAUCACGGCUUGGUGCCACCUUAUACUGUAUACAUCUGAUCUUUUGCAUGGAUGGCAUUUGCUUUCAGUAAGAUUGGUUUAGGGCUGAGGUGAUUGUGAGCUGCAUUGCUGGAAGAGUGGCGAUUGGGGGAAGAUGGCGGUCCCCUGCCCCACCCAAGCUGUGGAUACAUCAUCUCUCGACCACUGCCCCCAGGUCAGUGUAAGCUCUCUCCCUGAGAAGGGCAACCAGGGCUACGAAGAGACAGCAAGUGUGGCACUGGAAUCUUAGCAAGGAGCUGUGUGAACGAUGCUGAGGAAGCGCAUGUGCAGAGCAGAGUUGGUCCGGAUUACAGCUGGGACCUCCCGUUGGCUUACAGGGUGGAGGCUGAAGCCCACGCAGAUGCCCUCAGUCACUCACAACGGCUUGCUGUUCAGGGCUCCCUGCUUUGUUCCCUGUGCCACGCCCUGCAUAAUGCCAGUGCCGUGGUGCCCAUGGGUUACCAAUCUGCAAACAUGAGUGACAUGGCUCAGCAAAACCUUCUCUUGACGUCCAUGGAAAGCGCGGGGCUGCUGAGCGCGACCCAGAGAACCGCAGAGUGUGUGUCUCAAGCUCUCUGGGCACAUGAGCCCACUAGGUGGGUUUUUGGGUGCCACUGGCUGCCCUUUUUCAUGGCUAUUUUUUCUGGGCAUUUCUCUUUAAAAUGUUGACCAACAUGAAUUGUUAAAUUGUUGAGUUUAGGUGCAUAAAAUGUAUAUAUAAUGGAAUUUGUCAGCUUUUCAAGAGGCAGCAUAGAGUCUCUGAUCCUCCAGUGGCAUCCCCACUUCCCUGUGGGGUGUCUGCAGUUCCAGAGAGUCAUGGAGCUUGCACUCUUGCUUAUUUUAGCAGUUCAAGGCCUUUGACCCCAAAUUUUUGCUUGUCUUAUCCAACAGAGUCUCAUGCACGGUCACUUUUAUUUCUCAACACACUUCCCUGCUCAUCUGUUGGUUCCUUUAACAGAGCUUCAAGAGAUCCUAGAAUCAAGAUGGUGCCAUGAUCAGGGAGCAACCAAAUAACCUUUGCAAAUCUCUCUCUAAAUACACACACACACACACGCAAAUACAUUCAUAUGUGCAUGUGUAUGUACACACAGAUUGAGUGUCCCUUAUCUGAAGUGCUUGGGACCAGGAGUGUUCGGGAUUUCCAGUGUUUUCGGAUUUUGGAAUAUGCACAUACAGGUAAUGAGCUGUCUUAGGGGAUGAGACCCACUCACGCCUAAACACAAAACUCACUUAUGUUUCAGAUAUACCUUAAAACACAGCCUGAAGGUAAUUUUAUAUAAUGUUUUAAAUAAUUUCGUGCAUGAAACAACAUUUUGACUGCAAUCUAUCACAUGAGGUCAGGUGUGGAAUUUUCAGUGUCAUGUUGACAUUAAUGAAAUUUUGGAAUUUGGAGCAUUUCAGAUUUCAGAUUUUCAGAUUAGAAGUGAUCAAUCUGUCUAUGUAAGUGUGUUUGUUCAUUUACUUUCAGCCCUGUCUGAAGAUAUUGGAAAGGAGGAGAAGAAAGAGGAAAGCAGAGAAGAUCGCCUCGCAGAGGCCAGGCUGCAGCUUGGGCUCCGUGCACCUCUGCCUGCUGACGGGAUCCACCUCAGGUCAAGAAGGUGCUGGCUCACCCUUCCCUCAAGAUUUUAGAGAUCCCAGUGCAUGUCCUGGAAAUCCUUUAAAAUUCAAAGACAACAAGCAAAGCUCUGGCUAAUUAAAUGUUUUCUGCUUACCGUCAUUAACAUAUUAAUGAGACAGGCUAAAUGUAUUACUCAGUGGUGCAGAAGCUCUUAGGUCUGUGCACCCCUUUUUGAGAGGAUUUCUCCAUGUGGCAUCCGUGUUUACAGUGCACUGGCUUUCUGUUCAUAGGGCUUUUACGUGGGGGCAAUGGCACGGCAGAAAGCAUCCCCAGGGUGAGAAGGGGAUGGGGAGGUCCACAUUGCAGUUCAGACCCGCUGGACACCUGCCUUUGAGAUAGCCACGUCCCUGAGCCUUUCCUUUCAAAGGAUGGUGGGUCAGUUUCUAAUGUUCCCAUUUUGACCUCUCAGACUCAGGGACUGGGGCUAGAGCACAGGUCCUCUCGUUGAGGUCACUGUAGCGCUUCAGAGGCAUCAGCAUUCUUGCUUUCUUUUGCACAUCCUUGGUUUUCAGUUAUUAUGGGUACACAGCGAGCCACCCCAAACUUAGUACAACAAUAGCCAUUUUGCUGUGUUCACGGAUUCUGUGGGUAAGGAAUUUGGAAGGAGCCCAGGGUGUGGUGCGUCAGUUGGGAAGAUUCGAGUUGAUAGUAGGUUUGCUCACUCCCGUGUCUGUGGCGCACGUGGCCUCUGUGUGGCUGGGCUUCCUUGCAGCAUGGCAUCCUGAGCCGCCUUCCACGGGGGCUUGCUCAGGGCUCCCAGCACAAGUGUUCCAGCCAACAGGGUGGAUUCCACAGCGCCUUUUCUGGCCCAGUCUCUGCCACACUGAAUCAUCUAUACCUGGCGAGGUCCUGACUUCCUUUCUGCCAGACCCUUCUCUGGUCCUCAAGGUCCCUUACUGUUUUUGCCCCUGGUUACAACCUCCUGUGUACCUGUCCUGGAGUGUUGUGGUUAGGAGUGUGGUCUCGGGCGCAGACUGAAAUACACUGAUGUGUGCAGUAGGAACCUCGGCUGCUGCCCUAUGUUCAUGGCAAGCACUUCAGAGGCGAGUCCUCCAUAAAGGGCCUUGACUUUUCUUUCCCAGACUAAAGUGCAGGUUCCUUCAGGGAAGCUCUGUCUUGGUCAUCUCUGCCUGGCAUUUCCUGCAGGACUUGGCAAGUACUGUGUUCCCUCUGCUUGGGCGGUCUGCGCUGGGUCUGUCUCCUGUUCUGUAAGUCUCACAAAUUCACCCUCUCAGAGCAGCCGUCUCUGCCUGUCCCCUGCUAGGAGCUGUGGUGACCCCCACUCAUCUUGUUUCCUUUUGUUCAUGACACUAGCUCUAAUGAAAAUGUUUCAUCCCUUGUUUGUUUCUGUUAGACCAGGAUAGGAACCCCACCAGAGCCAGAUCCGGGCCUGUCUCCUUCCCUGCUAUUCAGUGCCUACAAGAGGGUCUGGGUCAAAAAUGAAUGGAGAGGAGGAAGCGAGGGAUAAAAAGAUCAACUUCAGGAAGAUUUCAGAAACACGGUGCUGAGAAUAGUAGGGUCAUGUACCAGGGUGGGAUUUACUUCCUUUUUAUACACUUAAAAAAUCUCAAAGACAUCCAUUCAGCUUUCAGUUUAGGUGAAAUCUAUUUGUAAUAAAAAUAAAAUGAUAUUUCAACAACUUAAUUUUGAGUAAAAAUAUUUUCUGGAGGG